GACGAACGCUGGCGGCGUGCCUAAUACAUGCAAGUAGGACGCAGUUGCGAACGGGUGAGUAACGCGUAUGUAACUACCUAUUAGAGGGGGAUAACUAUUGGAAACGAUAGCUACUACCGCAUACUAGUAGAUGGACCUGCUUUUUAUUAGCUAGUAGGUUGGGUAAUGGCCUACCUAGGCAACGAUACAUAGCCGACCGGAGAGGGGGUCGGGCCACACUGGGACUUAGACACGGCCCAGACUCCUACGGGAGGAAGCAGUAGGGAAUCUUCGGCAAUGGGGGGAACACUGACCGAGCAACGCCGCGUGAGUGAAGAAGGUUUGCGGAGCGUAAAGCUCUGUUGUUAAGGAAGCGGUAAUUAACCAGAAAGGGACGGCUAACUACGAGCCAGCAGCCGCGGUAAUAC
rnacentral:rRNA from 1 species